GAUUAAGCCCAGAUCCAUCCCAGGCCAUACCAAUCCUGGCUUCUUCCCCUGUCCCCAACAAGCCCCCAGACCUUAGGCAAUCUUACCCGUGGUGGGUGGAAUCAGGUACUUGGGUCCAGGACUGCUGUAGAGGGCCAUGAUGGGCCCCCGGGGGCGAUGGGGCCGCCAGGUGCCCACCCAUACCUCCUCUGCCAUGGCUGGCUCUGUCCAUGGACAAGAGGGUGACCAGGUGCUGGGAUGCCCUCCCUGUUGCAUCUCAUUCCUGGCCCUCAUGUUCCCAUCCCUGGUACUGCUGAUACUGCAUCUUGCAGACCCAAGCUUUACCCCCGUGAAGACAUGGGAGUCUCAAGUAGUUACAAGCAAAGAGAGCUCCCCAUUUGGUGUGGUGAGUUUACCCCUAUCCAGCUCCGAGAUAAGGGUAGGAGUCAUGCCUUUGGGACAGGCCUAGAGGAGCUGCUUGCUCUGGCCCUGCACUGGCUAUCCUUUUGGCUCUGAAGGAGCCUGGGCUGGUCAAAGAACCCUGGGUGCAACUUUCCAAAGAGCUGGCUGGCAAGGGUCCAGAGCUUCUUGGCUGAGCUGUGUCAUGGGCGGGAGGAGAGCAAAUUGGGAGGCCUCACCUCCUCUGUGCAGGAAUGGGCUUAGAGCAGCUUAGGACCCAGCCUCCUCACCGGUGGCCUGUGCCCCUGGCGUCUGUGCCAGGCAAUAUCCUAAAAAGGAGCAUGGAGAGAAAGCUUCCCUUUCUCCCCCAGUUUUGAGAACUGGGGAGGGGUCCCUAUCCCUGAGCUCUAGAAUGUGGCUCUGUCCCACAAGGAGUUCUAGAUCCUAGUGUGUGUGAUGGAGACAAUGACCUCUGCCCAAGGCCUCUCUUCAGACCUUACCCUUUCCAGAGACCCUGUUUUUGGGGAACUGACCCUCUCCAGGAAGCCCCCACCCUCUCUCCUUUAGGAGCCAAGCACAUCGACAGCGACCACAUGGCCCUCCAGGAACUCCCACCUCUUCAAGGAGCCCCCAACUCUCCAAGGAGCUCCUACUCUCUCCUGGGAGCUCCUCUUCCAGAGACCACCCCCAACUUCUCCAGGGACCCCCUUACUCUCCAGGUGGUGUAGGACCAUGGGCUCAGCAGCAGAGGCACGUGGAACUUCUGGCUCUCCUUUGUAAUAGUGAAAACAACCUGCGAGAAGCAGAGAAGGCACAUGAAGACACUGAAGAUGUGAGUGAAUGGAGCCAAGCAAUCACGGGCUGAAAUAAUGAGACCAAAUAAAUAAUUCGCCCUUAAGCUACGUCAGGGCUA